GUUUGACUAAACAUCUGGGAACCCCAUGACCGAGGCUUCUGACUCCUCCAAAACAUAACUAAUAAUGGAGCCUUAUUGAUAACAUAGACAAUUAACACAUAUUUUGUCUAUGUAUUAUUUACUGUAUUCUUAUACUAAAAUAAGCUAGAUAAAAGAAAAUGUUAUUAAGAAAAUAGAUCUACUCUUCAUUAAGUGGAAGUGGAUUAUCAUAAAGUUUGUCAUGUAGAGUAGGCUGAGGAGGAGGAGGAGGAAGACAAGGGCUCCAUCUUGCUGAAGAGAAGGGCUCCAUCUUGCUGUUUCUGGGUGGCAGAGAUGGAACAGAUAGAGGAGCUGGAAGAGGAAGCAGAAGAGGAAGACACACUUUGUAACUCUACAAACUGGCUUCCUAAGAAGGUUUAAACAAAGGCUGAAUAAAAAAUGGACCUCAAGGCAAAUGAUUCAGAAGUGCCAACUUAUAAAACUGCCUACGAUGUAUCAGAAG
rnacentral:lncRNA from 10 species